rnacentral:sRNA from 1 species
GCCGGGCUCGGUGGUGCACACCUGUAAUCCCAGCGGCUCGGGAGGCUGAGACAGGAGGAUCGCGAGUUCAAAGCCAGCCUCAGCAAUGGCGAGGCACUAAGCAACUCAGUGAGACCCUGUCUCUA